GCGCGCGUGGCGUCGGUGGAAAGCGCGCUGGCUUCCGAAGUCUGAGCCUUUGGCUGGCGCGUGCUUCAGCUCGACUUCAGAGCACGCGCACCA
rnacentral:tRNA from 2 species